rnacentral:rRNA from 1 species
UAGCUAGUUACCAUCAUUAAGUUGGGGACUCUAGCGAGACUGCCAGUGAUAAAACUGGAGGAAGGUGGGGAUGACGUCAAAUCAUCAUGCCCCUUAUGACCUGGGCUACAAACGUGAUACAAUGGCUGGAACAAAGGGAUGCGAAGCAGUGAUGUGGAGCGAAACCCAUAAAAACAGUCUCAGUUCGGAUUGAAGUCUGCAACUCGACUUCAUGAAGUCGGAAUCGCUAGUAAUCGCGGAUCAGAACGCCGCGGUGAAUACGUUCUCGGGGUUU